UCCUGGUUGAUCCUGCCAGUAGUCAUAUGCUUGUCUCCAAAGACUAAGCCAUGCAUGUCUAAGUAUAAACAAUUAUACAGUGAAACUGCGAACUGACAUUAAAUCGGUUAUCGUUUGUUGAUAGUUUUCUACAUGGAUAACCGUGAUAACUAGAACUUUAAUACAUGACGGCCUUCUGGCGUAUAUAUUAGAUACAAACCAACAGUAUGGUGAUUCAAAUAUCUUGUCGAACCGAUCUUCGGUGUAUCAUUCAAAUUCUGCCCUAUCAACUGUCCGAUGGUAGGAUCGUGGCCUACCAUGGUAACAACGGGUAACGGGGAAUCAGGGUUCUAUUCCGGAGAGGGGAACUGAGAAACGGCUACAUCAAGGAAGGCAGCAGGCGCGCAAAUUACCCAAUCCUGACACAGGGAGGUAGUGACAAUAUAUAACGAUCCGGGAGCUCUUUGAGUUUCAGGUGGAAUGAAGUACAAUUAAACACCUUAACGAGGAACAAUUGGAGGAGCAAGUCUGGUGCCAGCAGCCGCGGUAAUUCCAACUCCAAUAGCGUAUAUUAAUGUUGUUGCAGUUAAAAGCUCGUAGUUGAAAUUGGGCGGAGCUAUUAGUUUAGGCCGCUUCGGGAAGAACUUCUUUAGUUACUUUGAAAAAAUUAGAGUGUUCAACGCAGGGUUUCGCCUGAAUAUAUUAGCAUGGAAUAACAUAACACGACGAGGGUCCAUUUUGUUGGCUUGCAAACCCGUAAUGAUUAAUAGGGACAGUCAGGGGCGUCAGUAUUGUGUUGUCAGGAGGUGAAAUUCUUGGUUUACAAGUUAACUACUGCGAGCAUUCGCCAGGAUAUAUUCAUUAAUCAAGAACGAAAGUUAAGGAUCAAAGAUGAUCGAAUACCGUCGUAGUCUUAACCGUAAACUAUGCCGACUGAGAAUGGGUACCGCUUAUACGGUAUCCGCGCUCUGAAAUCAAGUGAUCAGGUUCUGGGGAGUAUGGUCGCAAGGCUGGAAACUUAAAGGAAUUGACGGAAGGGCACCACCAGGAGUGGAGCCUGCGGCUUAAUUUGACUCAACACGGGGAAACUCACCAGGUCAGACACAAUAAGGAUUGACAGAUUGAUGGCUCUUUCUUGAUUUUUGUGGGUGGUGGUGCAUGGCCGUUUCUUAGUUGGUGGAGUGAUUUGUCUGGCAAUUGCGAUAACGAACGAGACCUUGACCUACUAAAUAGCUCUACUUGCGAUUGCGGGUAGCUGGCUUCUUGGGGACUAUCUAUUAUGAGUAGAUGGAGUUCGAGGCAAUAACAGGUCUGUGGUGAUGCCCUUAGACGUUCUAGACGCACGCGCGCUUACACUGACGGAAUAGCGAGUCGACCAGAAAGCCCGAGAGGGCUGGAAGUAAUCUUGUGAAACUCCGUCGUGCGCUGGGGAUGAGAGCAUUGCAAUUAUUAUCUUCAACGGGAGUCCUAGUAGCGCAAGUCAUCAGCUUGCGUUGAUUACGUCCUGCCCUUUGGCCACACCGCCCGUCGCUACUACCGAUUGAAUGGUUUGAGUGAGGACCUUGGGGCGAGAUGGGGGCAACCCGCGCACGAACAUCAAACUUGGUCAGAGCGAUUGAAGUAAAAGUCGUAACAAAGGUUUCCGUAGGUGAACCUGCGGAAGGAUCGUAU
rnacentral:rRNA from 1 species